rnacentral:lncRNA from 1 species
GAAACUGAAACUUAAAUGCAAAGGCUAUCCUAGUUCAAUUCAAACAAAUCAUGUAUCUAUGUUCCAAUCUUCAGCACUGUAUUAAAGAGAACAACUUGGAAAUGAGCUUAGGAUCCACAGGUCCUGGGAAAUAGCUUAGGACCCAUAGAUAAAGUUGGUGAAGGACAAUUUGCUUAAUUUAUUGCCUUGGAAUUUGAGCUCAGGAGUUCAAGACCAGCGUGAGCAACAUGGUGAAACCCAGUCUUUACAAAAAGUUCAAAAAUUAUCCAGGCGUGGUGGUGGGUGCCUGUAGUCCCAGCUACUCUGGAGCCUGAGGCACGAGAAUCGCUUGAAGUGGGGAGGUGGAGGCUGCAGUGAGCAGAGAUUGUGCCACUGCACUCCAGCCUGGGUGACACAGCCAGACCCUGUCUCAAAAUGUAAAAUAAAAUGAAGUAAAUAUGAUUAGUAUGUUUCAGUACUUAAAGAGUGUUCUGAAAAUAUGAGCAAGAAAUAAAAGACUAAAGGAACUAAAAAACAGAGUCUGGUCCUGAACAGGAUGCUGAAUUAUGAUGAAUGCUGACUGCCUCCCUCAAGUUAAAUCCCAGAAAAACUAGAGAAGGUAAACAGAUAAAACUGUAAGAAAGCCAGAGGUACUGGCCGUGUGGGAUGGUAGUUGAACCUGGGGUAGAGAACUUUCCAGCACAAUUAUAAGAGGUUAAAAUAAAAGGUUAAUUGUGAGUGUUCUGCUGUAGCUUUUCCCCUGCUACUGUCUUACCACACAUGGUGCUUGCCUUACUACUGCAACGAACGUAAUUCUGGUCCAAGCACCCUCAGGAAUAAAAUCAGAGCAGUACUCCUGUGCUUAUAAGGGGCUGAGAAAAAAGAGUAAGGGUUAUGACUAACAAACCUCAGGCAGUUAUUUCCCCAACACUCUACUGCAGGAUUCAUGCCAUCCUUGCUUUAAUGUUUGUGGGUGAGGCACAGUGGGGUUUGGUCUUCGUUUAUACACAAUGACAUAGAGAGGACCCAAUACACUGAGAGGAAAAUAAGCACACAGGCCAAAAAUCACAAAAUGUUUAGACAGAACAGCUAUUUCAAUUAAAAAAGAAAUACUAGAUUUAAAAUUCCAAUAAAACAUGGAAAAAUAUCAAAUGAGCCUAGUAAAUGGAUUACCAGUAUUAAACAAGUAAAAGAAAAAUUUUUAAUGAAACCAAACUGAAAUGACAUAAAAUACAUAUUUGUUUUAAUAAAUAUGAAAGUAGAUAACAAAUAUAAUGGCUAUACCUGCAUGAUGAACUGGUGAACUGGAGAGUAUGAAGAAAUCUCAUACAAGAAAGAAGGAAAACACAAAGUAAAAGAAAACUGAAGUGUAAACUGGAGAGAUAGGAUGGAUAGAAGUCCAAGUGUCAACAUUCAGAUAACAGGACUCCAAGAAUGAGCAUAAAAUAAAUAAGGACAGGAAGCAUUUUGGGAGGCUGAGGUGGGUGGAUCACGAGGUCAGGAGAUCGAGACCAUCCUAGCUGACACGGUGAAACUCCGUCUCUACUGAAAAUACAAAAAAUUAGCCGGGCGUGGUGGCGGGCGCCUGUAGCCCCAGAUGCUCGGGAGGCUGAGUCAGGAGAAUGGCGU